ensembl:snRNA U6 spliceosomal RNA
GUGCUCAUUUUGGCAGCACAUAUACUAAAAUUAGAAUGAUACAUAGAAGAUUUGCAUGGCCCCUGUGCAAGGAUGACACACAAAUUUGUGAAGCGUUCCAUUUUUUU